rnacentral:lncRNA from 1 species
AGUACGCCGUGUGCGCCCUCAAGGUGCAGGUGCUCGUCGUCAUUGGCCACAGCUGCUGCGGUGGCAUCAGGGCGCUCCUCUCCCUCAAGGACGGUGCACCUCACAACUUGUAAGUCAUCACUUUUUUUUUAUUUAUUUAUUUCACGGACACACUUAGCUUGAAGCGUGUGUUGUAUUUCAUUAAACCGAAAUGUAUGUAAUAAUCAACGUAAAAUGUACGUACAAGCAGCUAAGUUUCAUUCGGAACCUCUUUGUGUGCCUCGUGUCAUGAUUUUUUUUUUGACCCUAGCAUGAUGUCUCUGUUUGGUUUGGUGGUGUAUGUAUCCAGCCACUUCGUUGAGGACUGGGUCAGGAUCGGCUCCCCUGCCAAGGCGAAGGUGCACAAAGAGCAUGCCUCAGUGCCGUUCGAUGACCAGUGCUCCAUCCUGGAGAAGGUACGUACACCGUAUGUACACGCAUUGCAUGAAUGCAAUGAGUUGAUUUUGCUCACAAAAGGGACCUUGUAUUUUUCUGAAUGUUUCUGCAGGAGGCCGUGAACGUGUCCCUCGCCAACCUCAAGACUUACCCCUUCGUCAAGGAACGGCUGGCCAAAGGGACCCUCAAGCUGGUCGGCGCCCACUACGACUUCGUGUCCGGGAAGUUCCUCACAUGGGAGCCUGUAGGGUUCAUAACCUUCAUCCUUACAUUUUCAAUUGUACAUACUGUAUCUGAGACCACAUGGUUUUACCUCCUGGCACACUCCAGAUCCAAACUUCCUAUCCAUUUUCUCUCCUUCCUUGCCAUCGCAAUUAAUUUCUUUCUAAGAAGAACAAAAUCACCACCAAAUCCAACCACAACACUUGAAAUCCGCCCCAUGCAUAGCACUUGAAACCAGCCCCAACAUCUUAAUUGACCUACUUCUCAUCUUCUUCGGAUAUAAGAAGAUUGAACCCUAUCUCCACCGCAAAUACAUAUAUCGCGUUCACCCGCUACAAACUUCUAGUCCAGUUGUCGCCUGGUCCUCUAUCCGCUUCAAUUAGGCUUGCCGUUGCAUCGAAUUUCUAACCUCGUUGGUGCACCAGGCUCGUCUGUGGUGAUGGAUAUGAGGCCAUGGCCAUCGAGGUCCAUCUACCACAAAGAUGCCACUGCCUUUUUCCAUGGCCACCAUGGUUUGCCGAAUCAGUUGUCCCCCGAGGAAGCAAUCAUCAUGUUGGAGUCGUUCUUCUCUACAAAACGUGCUCAAGUAGCCAUCGACAUUCCGCUUAAGCGAUAUAUAUUGUCCACAAAAGCUGUGCUUGACCGUUACUCAUUUUUCAUCAAAUCCCGCGUUGUGCGGUGUCUCUUUCUCUCACUAAAACGAUUGCACAUGUCAUCAUGUUGAUGUUGCUAGUAAUCUAGACAAUGGGGCAGCUCAAAAGGUGAACGAGAGAGAUAUAGAGAGAAAGGGAGGGAGGGAGGGCCACACCGCAUCUAUCCAUCUGACUAUAAGGGGGCAAAAGAAGAAAAGAGGAGAAGAUGAGAAGUUGCAUUUGCCUCCCUGUUAUAUAUCAAAGGAGGGUCAAUGAAGCCGUCCAUAGAUUCCCACACCUCGUCACUCCUUGAGAACCAGAAGCCCACCCCAUCCAGUCCAAGGUCCGUUCCCUCAUCCUCCUCCCUCACCCUCGCCAUCAUCCUUCACAUAGCACACACAGUAAUCUUUGUCCGUCCCUCUGUUUUCUUUUCCUCUAUUGCCAUCAUGAGCCUGCAACUUCUGCUUUCUCCCUAUGUUGUAUUGUGUUGGUGCAAAGAAGAUCCAUCUUCCCCUUUUUGAUCAUAUUUUAUGCAUGCUUUCCUUAUGGUCCGUGGCAAGGAGGCCAAGCAUUGGCAUCAUGCCCCUUCUAUCUCUCUCUACCCCCUCAUGCCCCUUCUCUUUCUCUCUCUACCCCCGUCAUGCUGCAUCACGAUCAUGAGUAUGCAAGUUGGUCUUUCCGGGAUGGCAAAAUGACCGAUGGUUUUCUGGUUGUUGGUCUUGUAGGUGAUGGACGCCGUUGACCGCUUGAAGAGCGGGUUCGAGCAGUUCAAGAUCGAGGUCUAUGAGUAAGUCAUCUCUCUACUUAGAGCUGUUGUUUUUUUAAUUUGUAGCACCCAUGUUUGGUUUAAUAUUUUCAGUUUCAACCACUUGAUUUAUUUUGGGAAUUCUGAGAGCUCCGACUGAUACUGCCAUGUUGUCUUUUUUCUGCAGCAAGAAGCCAGAGCUUUUUGAGCCUCUCAAAUCUGGCCAGGCCCCCAGGGUAUGUGUAGGGAUGAAAAUGGAUCAAAUUUGUAUAGAAUCAAAUCCAUAUAUCACCUCUUAACACAUUUUUAUUCAAAUUCAGUUAUUGGAUACAUAUACUUUUGAAUACAAAUAUAAAACAAAUGUCUUGAAUCUGUAUUUCUAUUCAAAGAUUUACUCAAUUCAACUCAAAUUGUAUAUUGCUAAAUUCAACGUACAUGUAUACAAUUUUACUACUAAAUUCAUCGAUAAACCUUUUUUGCUUUAUCAAUUUUUUAGGUUUACAAACUAUUAUAUUGAAACAUUUGUGUAUAUAAUUUAAAAUGAAUGGUGACAGCUUGUCGCCAUUAGCGGCCAAUUGGCAAGUACUAGUAGUAGUCUGUUGGAUAUAAUCCCUCCAUCCUAAAUAUAUGCAGAAAUCAUCUAUUGAGGAGUAAUUCUUUUUUUCAGUUUAACUAAAAGUAUAAUUUAUUUCGAAAAAAUACUAAAUGCUCAAUCUAAUGAUAUUUAUUAUACACUAUAAACAUUAAUAUAUUUUUAAUAUAAAUAUAAUUAAAAUUUAAAAAUUUGAAGUUUCAUAAAGCGAGAUGUACAGUUAUUUUGGGACAAAAGAAAUAGUCCUAUAAUUAUUUUGUACUACAAAAGUCUGCUCCAUAGGGCACAAGCUUCAACUUUGGCACUACUAGUCAUAGGCUCAUUGCGCAAAGAAAUGGUGGUGGGAGUGGGAUACAUACAUGCUCCUUCUUUUCCCGAUCGAUCGACCUGAUGCUGAUUAUUUUCCUCUGCUGCAUGCAUGCAGUACAUGGUGUUCGCCUGCGCUGACUCCCGUGUGUGCCCGUCGGUGACCCUGGGCCUGAUGCCCGGCGAGGCCUUCACCGUCCGCAACAUCGCCGCCCUGGUCCCAGGCUACGACAAGGUACGUACACACUGACCGUCGUCGCCGACGACACAAAAUGGCCGUCUAUUUCUCCUCGGCCCGGCCGGCCGCCGCCGGCCGGGCAUGACAGAGGAUCGAGGACUGACACGGCCGCGCCUUUCGUAUUCGUCACCUGCAGACCAAGUACACCGGCAUCGGGUCCGCCAUCGAGUACGCCGUGUGCGCCCUCAAGGUGCAGGUGCUCGUCGUCAUUGGCCAUAGCUGCUGCGGUGGCAUCAGGGCGCUCCUCUCCCUCCAGGACGGUGCACCUGACAACUUGUAAGACGCCACCGUAAAAUAUACAAAGUUUCAUUAAGAUAAAACAAAAAUUCUUUUGUACCUCUAUGAUGAUUUUGAUCCCAGCGCAUUUUUAUCUGUUGUUUUUUUUGUGGUGUAUCCAGCCACUUUGUUGAGGACUGGGUCAAGAUUGGCUUCCCUGCCAAGAUGAAGGUGAAGAAAGAGAACGCUUCGGUGCCGUUCGAU